GACAGAGGGUGCAAACGUUGCUCGGAAUUACUGGGCGUAAAGCGUGCGUAGGUGGUUUGUUAAGUCUGAUGUGAAAGCCCUGGGCUCAACCUGGGAAUUGCAUUGGAUACUGGCAGGCUAGAGUGCGGUAGAGGAUGGCGGAAUUCCCGGUGUAGCAGUGAAAUGCGUAGAGAUCGGGAGGAACAUCUGUGGCGAAGGCGGGCCAUCUGGACCAGCACUGACACUGAGGCACGAAAGCGUGGGGAGCAAACAGG
rnacentral:rRNA from 1 species